GAAAGUUAGAAGUGAAAUCCCUGGGCUCAACCUAGGAAUUGCUUUUAAAACUUCUGUUCUUGAAUUCAGGAGAGGAUAGUGGAAUUUCCAGUGUAGAGGUGAAAUUCGUAGAUAUUGGAAGGAACACCAGUGGCGAAGGCGGCUAUCUGGACUGACAUUGACGCUGAGAUACGAAGGCAUGGGUAGCAAACGGGAUUAGAUACCCCGGUAGUCCAUGCAGUAAACGAUGGAUGCUAGUCGUCGGACUUUUGUUCGGUGUCGUAGCUAACGCGUUAAGCAUCCCGCCUGGGGAGUACGGUCGCAAGAUUAAAACUCAAAUGAAUUGACGGGGACCCGCACAAGUAGUGGAGCAUGUGGUUUAAUUCGACGCAACGCGAAGAACCUUACCAGCGUUUGACAUGGACAGUACCGGUUACAGAAUGGUAACCUUCAGUUCGGCUGGCUUUCACACAGGUGCUGCAUGGCUGUCGUCAGCUCGUGUCGUGAGAUGUUGGGUUAAGUCCCGCAACGAGCGCAACCCUUAUCGUUAGUUACUAACAGUUCGGCUGAGGACUCUAGCGAAACUGCCGGUGAUAAGCCGGAGGAAGGUGGGGAUGACGUCAAGUCCUCAUGGCCCUUACACGCUGGGCUACACACGUGCUACAAUGGUAUUUACAAUGGGACGCAAUAU
rnacentral:rRNA from 1 species